AUUGAACGCUGGCGGCAGGCCUAACACAUGCAAGUCGAGCGGAGCGGCGGACGGGUGAGUAAUGCCUAGGUAUCUGCCUGGUCGUGGGGGAUAGCGUCCGUAAACGGGCGCUUAUACCGCAUCCUAUCAGAUGCGCCUAGGUGGGAUGAGCUAGUUGGUGGGGUAGAGGCCUACCAAGGCGACGAUCCGUAACUCGUUUGAGAGGAUGAUCAGUCAAACUGGAACUGAGCAACGGUCCAGACUCCUACGGGAGGCAGCAGUGGGGAAUAUUGGACAAUGGGCGAAAGCCUGAGGAAGCCAUGCCGCGUGUGUGAAGAAGGGCUUCGGAUUGUAAAGCACUUUAAGUUGGGAGGCGUUACCAAAAGAAUAAGCACCGGCUAACUUCGUGCCAGCAGCCGCGGUAAUAC
rnacentral:rRNA from 1 species